rnacentral:rRNA from 1 species
UACGGAGGGAGCUAGCGUUGUUCGGAAUUACUGGGCGUAAAGGGUGCGUAGGCGGGUCUUUAAGUCAGGGGUGAAAUCCUGGAGCUCAACUCCAGAACUGCCUUUGAUACUGAGGAUCUUGAGUUCGGGAGAGGUGAGUGGAACUGCGAGUGUAGAGGUGAAAUUCGUAGAUAUUCGCAAGAACACCAGUGGCGAAGGCGGCUCACUGGCCCGAUACUGACGCUGAGGCACGAAAGCGUGGGGAGCAAACAGG